rnacentral:rRNA from 1 species
GGAGGGAGCGAGCGUUGUUCGGAAUCACUGGGCGUAAAGGGCGCGUAGGCGGCCGAGUAAGUCGUGUGUGAAAGACCGGGGCUCAACUCCGUGUACUGCAUGCGAUACUGCUCGGCUAGAGAAAGGUAGAGGCGAGUGGAAUUCCCGGUGUAGCGGUGGAAUGCGUAGAUAUCGGGAAGAACACCUGUGGCGAAGGCGGCUCGCUGGGCCUUUUCUGACGCUGAAGUGCGAAAGCGUGGGGGGAGCAAACAGGAUUAGAUACCCUGGUAGUCCACGCCGUAAACGAUGGGCACUAGGCGUUGGGAGGAUUGACCCUCUCAGUGCCGUAGCUAACGCGUUAAGUGCCCCCGCCUGGGAGUACGGCCGCAAGGCUG